GCCGAAAUAGCUCAGUUGGGAGAGCGUUAGACUGAAGAUCUAAAGGUCCAUGGUCCGAUCCCGGGUUUCGGCA
rnacentral:tRNA from 1 species